UCGUUCUUGAGGAAUUGAAGGUUUU
rnacentral:piRNA from 1 species